rnacentral:rRNA from 1 species
UCAGGCCUAACACAUGCAAGUCGAGGGGUAGAACAUUUCGGUGUAUGAGACCGGCGCACGGGUGCGUAACGCGUAUGCAACCUACCUUUUACAGGGGAAUAGCCCAGAGAAAUUUGGAUUAAUGCCCCAUGGUAUAUUUAGAUGGCAUCAUCUGAUUAUUAAAGUUCCAACGGUAAAAGAUGGGCAUGCGUCCUAUUAGCUAGAUGGUAAGGUAACGGCUUACCAUGGCAACGAUAGGUAGGGGUCCUGAGAGGGAGAUCCCCCACACUGGUACUGAGACACGGACCAGACUCCUACGGGAGGCAGCAGUGAGGAAUAUUGGACAAUGGGCGCAAGCC